UACAGAGAGUGCGAGCGUUAAUCGGAAUUACUGGGCGUAAAGCGCACGUAGGUGGAUUCUUAAGUCAGAUGUGAAAGCCCCGAGCUUAACUUGGGAAUUGCAUUUGAUACUGGGCGUCUAGAAUAUAGUAGAGGGAAGUGGAAUUUCCGGUGUAGCGGUGAAAUGCGUAGAUAUCGGAAGGAACAUCAGUGGCGAAAGCGGCUUCCUGGACUAAUAUUGACACUUAGGUGCGAAAGCGUGGGGAGCAAACAGG
rnacentral:rRNA from 1 species